rnacentral:rRNA from 1 species
GACGAACGCUGGCGGCGUGCUUAACACAUGCAAGUCGAACGAAAAUACCAAGCUUGCUUGGUUGAUUAGUGGCGAACGGGUGAGUAACACGUGAGUAACCUGCCCCUUACUUUCCUGGAUAACUGCUCGAAAGGGUAGCUAAUACGGGAUAUUCUGACCAGCCUGCAUGGGUUGGUUUGGAAAGGUUGUUUUUCUGGUAAGGGAUGGGCUCGCGGCCUAUCAGCUUGUUGGUGGGGUGAUGGCCUACCAAGGCUUUGACGGGUAGCCGGCCUGAGAGGGUGGACGGUCACACUGGGACUGAGAUACGGCCCAGACUCCUACGGGAGGCAGCAGUGGGGAAUAUUGCACAAUGGGCGCAAGCCUGAUGCAGCGACGCCGCGUGAGGGAUGAAGGCCUUCGGGUUGUAAACCUCUUUCGUCAGGGAACAAGGCACUGCUUUUUUGGUGGUGUUGAGGGUACCUGGAUAAGAAGCGCCGGCUAACUACGUG